rnacentral:rRNA from 1 species
GAUGAACGCUGGCGGCGUGCCUAAUACAUGCAAGUCGAGCGAACAGACGAGGAGCUUGCUCCUCUGACGUUAGCGGCGGACGGGUGAGUAACACGUGGAUAACCUACCCAUAAGACUGGGAUAACUUCGGGAAACCGGAGCUAAUACCGGAUAAUAUAUUGAACCGCAUGGUUCAAUAGUGAAAGACGGUUUUGCUGUCACUUAUAGAUGGAUCCGCGCCGCAUUAGCUAGUUGGUAAGGUAACGGCUUACCAAGGCAACGAUGCGUAGCCGACCUGAGAGGGUGAUCGGCCACACUGGAACUGAGACACGGUCCAGACUCCUACAGGAGGCAGCAGUAGGGAAUCUUCCGCAAUGGGCGAAAGCCUGACGGAGCAACGCCGCGUGAGUGAUGAAGGUCUUCGGAUCGUAAAACUCUGUUAUUAGGGAAGAACAAAUGUGUAAGUAACUAUGCACGUCUUGACGGUACCUAAUCAGAAAGCCACGGCUAACUACGUG